UCACCCCUCAUCCUCUUCCCCAAGCUGCCGUGGAUUACUUCUCCUCUCUCUCCCUCUCACUUCAUGCGAGACUCUCUCCAUUUCUCACGCCACAGCCCAGCAAAGAACGAGCUGCUAGGCGUCUCCUCUUCCUGCGUGCAGCACCGAAAGAAGACUUCAUCACUUCUGCAUCCACGCGUCAUCUUCGGUCAACAGCGGCAGCAACCGAAGCUGCUUGGUUGACCGCAAAAGCCCCGCAUCCGUGCAAAGAUCCGUCGCCAGCAACGCCUGCAAGUUGCCAGGCGUCUUCCACUUCUUCGGUCAAACUUUCCUUCAAUUUUUCU
rnacentral:lncRNA from 1 species